GGCGCCUUGGCUCCAUGCUCUCUCUCAGAGCAAAGCGCCCUUCCUCCACUGCCAUCACUUCCCGGUGUCACUGUCUGCCAUGCCCGACAUCCGCCCUGAGCAUUGCCGCGUCUGAAUUUUUGCUGGUGAGACACGUGAUGUGGGUGGACAUUAUCCCAGGUGGUUGAGCCCUGCUUGACUCUCUGUUUCACCAGCCACGUCACCUGCAGGGGAGGCCACAGGUGGAGAUGGCAGAGCCUCUGAAAUGCUCCCCUGAAUGGUUGGGUCACUGCAUGAAGGACAGCGCCUGGCAGAACCAUCCGGAUGAGCGGCGGCCUCUGAGGGAGCAGGAGAUCAAUGUUCUCUGUGUUAAGUUCCUGGUAUCUUGGGCUUCUUCGUUUCUGCAGCCUGGCUUCCCCUAGUCCUGCCAUUAACUCUGUUAAAAAUGGCUUUGCCUGGCCAAAGUCCUUUCCAGCUCCGUGAGCCCGGGGCAUUCUAAAUUUCUUUUCCACGUAGAGAGUUUUUAUUAUUCUUUGGCUACAAAUUGAGAGGCAUCUCCAUGCUGCGCAAGCAACAGAAUGGUACUGAUGAGAGGGAGCAGAACCAAGGAACUGGAGGGACUUGCAAGGCCUGGUGGGUCAGUGCUAGCUGAAGGCAACCGAGUGUGAGGGUGGCUAGAGGGUCUUUGAGGGAGGAGCCCGCGGAGGUCUGGGCCUUACAGGGAAGCCUGGAGGCAGGUGGCAGGGGUCCGAGCAUGAAGACCAGUACGCAGCAGCUCUGUGCUAGGAUCCAGAAGAACGUCUCCUGGAGGGGCAGGUGUGUUCUAUACAUCAGAGAUCCAGUGUUCCAGGCCUGGCUGCUGCUUCUCUCUCAGGACAAGAGAAUGAGGGUAAAGACUAAAAGGCAUCGCGGUGUUUCCACUGGGCUAGAUGCUUUACGUGUGUUCUCUCCACUUGUUACCACCUCCCUGCCAAGCAGGGAGAUGAUCUCUAUUUCGCUCACUAGAGAAAUGCAGCUUCGAGAGAUUAAAUGUUUAAUGCAAGUGUGAUGCCAAGACCUCUACCCUUUCCUCCACACCAAGCUGCUUGGCCAAGGAGAGACUCCUGAACAAGGCUGGAGGUGGAGCUAUGCUGUCAACAAGGUUCACAGCUGGAGAGGAAUUUUGCCUCAGGAAGAAUUAUACCCUGGAUCACACCAUCAUCUGAUUUAGACGAUAUUUAGGCGAGACUUUGGACUUUAGAGUUGAUAUUGGAAAAAGAUAAGGCUCAUUAACUCAUUGGGGUUAAUAGGCCUGUUGGGAUGAAAUGAAUGUAUUUUUCAUGCAAGAGGAGCACAAAUUUUGGUGGUUGCUCUUGCUGCAGUUUCCCAGGGAGGCUAGGCUGUCCUCCUGGCCUGCUGGUUAUGGUGCUCAGCUCUGUGUGGCUGCUAUGGACCCUUCAGUAAGUUUAUUUGGCAUGGGGAGCCCCAGCACAGUUGGCUGCAGGUUCUAAUAACACAUUCCUGUUGCAGCUUUUCUGUUAAGUGAGUAGGCUCCCAGCAUGGCUGGUUGUUAAGUUCAGGGGCUUACAAUUGCUGUAGGCCUCCAGCCUUCAAGGCUGUUGUCAGCUCAGGAUUACAGCUGAGUGGGGCCAGCCCUUAACAUGGGAGCACUCAAUUGUUUCAGGCUUUGGAAGGAGGGGUCAGUCCCCUAUGUGGCUGUUUGAGAAGCAAAAGUCUUCUGCAGCUGACAAACCCAAUGGCCCACAGGUCCACAUACACUGUCAAUACAGUCCUGCCCCAUGCGUGUACCCUGACCCCCUGAAGUAGACCCAGUUGCCCCGCUGCAGAGGCCCCCACACACUCCACCAAUGCACCAUACACUCCACCGGCUCCUUAUGCAGGCCCUGCCUUGCAGAGGUGGACCCACUCACCUGUCUGCAAAGGUUCCAGGCACCUUGCCUAUGUGGACCCACUAGCUGCUCAAGGGCUUACUGUUGGGUGGGGCCAGUCCCUAGGGAAGGCUGCCUGCCCUGGCUGAGCUGGAUUAAAUUGGUGCUCUAGUGAGUAGGGCAGAUCCUGGGCUAAUAGGCCAGAGGAAGAACUCCAAAGGCAUCUGCCAGUGUCUAUGUCAGCAUGCUUGGACUAGGUCACAACAGUGGCUGCCGCCAAUGUUUCAGUCCCUGGAGAGGUCUCACCUCUCACCGAGAUGCAACCAUAGCCUAUCAGCAGAUGCUAUCAGUGCCCCCAUGGCCCACCCUGGUGGUUUCCAACAUGCUGAUGGAUUCCUGUGACUUUCAGCCUGAGGGCGGAUGCGGAGUGGAGUCCACACCCCCUCUUCCCUCCCAUACAGCAGCGAGGGAUGGUGGGUCAUCAAGCAGAUUCUCCGCUGCUUGAGGCCUUGUAGCACCCCAGACAGACAGGAAAGCUACCAGAGACCAAGUGAAGAACGGGCUCCUUGGAGAGGCGCCUGGUUACAUCCCUGACCUGACCUGCAGGUGCUGGAAGCUCCCACAUGGCCGUGGGAAGAGGAGACUCGCCACUUGGUCCAGAGUGGCCUCUUGUCCAGUGCUGUGGAACACGGGAGCCGCGCAGGCUCAGAGCAGAAAGGGCUUGUGGAACUCUUCCAGACUCAGCGUCGGAACAUGGUGUAGGGCACGUUCAAGGCCUGAGGCUGGCCCUCCCCAGGAUGCUGGAGCCCACUUGGACCUGCUCGUGAGAGCUGAUUGUUAAACUUCCAGGAUUUUUGAGACCCAGUUGUUAAAUACAGCCAUUAUUAAAGCGUAAAUUAUGUAAACU
rnacentral:lncRNA from 1 species